CUUGGAGUCUGUCGACGUUCAUCUAUAGCAGCUUGGAGUCUGUCGACGUUCAUCUAUAGCAGCUUGGAGUCUGUCGACGUGUAUCUAUGGCAGCUUGGAGUCUGUCGACGUGCAUCUAUGGCGGCUUGGAGUCUGUCGACGUGUAUCUAUGGCAGCUUGGAGUCUGUCGACGUGUAUCUAUGGCAGCUUGGAGUCUGUCAACGUGCAUCUAUGGCAGCUUGGAGUCUGUCGACGUGUAUCUAUGGCAGCUUGGAGUCUGUCGACGUGUAUCUAUGGCAGCUUGGAGUCUGUCAACGUGCAUCUAUGGCAGCUUGGAGUCUGUCGACGUGUAUCUAUGGCAGCUUGGAGUCUGUCGACGUGCAUCUAUGGCAGCUUGGAGUCUGUCGACGUUCAUCUAUAGCAGCUUGGAGUCUGUCGACGUGCAUCUAUGGCAGCUUGGAGUCUGUCGACGUUCAUCUAUGGCGGCUUGGAGUCUGUCGACGUGUAUCUAUGGCAGCUUGGAGUCUGUCGACGUGUAUCUAUGGCAGCUUGGAGUCUGUCGACGUGCAUCUAUGGCAGCUUGGAGUCUGUCAACGUGCAUCUAUGGCAGCUUGGAGUCUGUCGACGUGUAUCUAUGGCAGCUUGGAGUCUGUCGACGUGUAUCUAUGGCAGCUUGGAGUCUGUCGACGUUCAUCUAUGGCAGCUUGGAGUCUGUCGACGUGCAUCUAUGGCAGCUUGGAGUCUGUCGACGUGUAUCUAUGGCAGCUUGGAGUCUGUCGACGUGUAUCUAUGGGCGGCCACGAGCCAUACAAAUUCAGCAGAAAAGACCGCAGUCCCACCAAAGCCUGACCUAGCCUACGAUGCUGUUGAAAUGCUGCUAUGUUUAUGACAUUAACCAACCAGCAGGCGGAAUGUUCCAGCACACUCUGAGUAAUGCCGUUGGAAAGGAACUGCUAAUGAUGACAUAAAUCUAAAGAGAGAUUAGAAAAGAAAGACAGAAAGUGGGACUUUAGCUAUUCAUUUUAAAUCAUUGAUCUGGCCUAAGUACUUUCCAUUUGUCCUUGUUGCCAUUUUAUUCACAUUUGAAAGCAUAAUGCUGUUCUUUAAUUAAAAUUGCAGACGUGCUGUAACUAAUGUCCAAAGCUGUUUGAGGUGUGUGCGUGUGUGUGUGUGUUAGCGUGAGCCCGUACUCUUUAGUGUACAGCGUUCAUCUGUGGAACGAGACGGAGGUGUUAUAGAUAGCAUGUCACAAGUCACAAAGACCGAGAUGAAAGACACAUGGUUUCCUCACAGACCAGCUGCUCAUCAGAGAUGCUCAUCAGAGAUGCAGCAUGUAGCAGGUCAGGAAGGUUGCUGCCCUGAAAACAGGCUUCUCUUCAGCUACAGAGAGUGAACCCACUGGUAGAAUCAUUGUGAUGUGGAAUCAACGUGGAACAUACAUUUGGAUUUGAAAGAAGUAAUGAACCAGUUCUGUUUUCAUCUCAUUUCAACCAGCGUUGUGAACGAUGAAAUGAGGGUAAAACUGCAAUUGAAAUACAUUGAUUUAAUCUAAC
ensembl:lncRNA